rnacentral:lncRNA from 1 species
GUGCUAUAGACAGCAACUGUGUGUAAGUUGUUGGCUCCAAUUCAGUAACUGCACAGAAGCCAAAUCCAUCCUGCUUCCUGUGGAGAGAGUAUCAGGAUAAAAGAAACUGCUGCUGCAGUUUCCUAGAGUCUGCAAAGAAACGACUGCUAUUCUUACGUAAAUGUGCAUGCAGCCAUCAGUCAGCGAUUUCCAAGUAUGCAGGAGUCCUACAAAGACAGAGAUUUGGCUCCUCCCUCAAUGGACCCUCCCUUCA